CAAGUGAGAAAUCGUAAGUAACUUUAAAGGGGACUAGGAACAUCUAAUAUUAACUUCUUUUUUUAAUCUACAGAAUUAAAGGCUUUGGAAUGCAAAAGAGAAACCUACAAAACCUCAGAAUAUAGACUAUAAUCUACAUUCAGUAGUUCCAAGAGAAGAAAAGUGUAACAUCUAGCUUUCUAACAAGCUCUCAAGGCACAUAAUAUCUCUUCUUUAGAUUUGUAUUCUGUAAAGUACAAGUCCCUAGGCCUUUUAUCAUACGGAAGAGAUUUUUCUCUGAGAUUCUCUGUAAAUACACAGGUUCAACUUUUGAUACAUCUCUGUGUAUUUCUUAAAAUCCCAGUAGAAAGCCGUAAACUCAGGGGCUCAAGAACUCUGUGAGGACGAUAAUGAUAAUGAAAGGCAGAUGUUGCAGCGUGACUGAACAGCAUCCCGAUCGCCUCCUAUGUGAACUGUAGAAAACGUUGUUGAUGAUCCCCUUAAUUUGACAUGGCUUUUCACAACCAUCCAUAAUUGGGUUUUGGGGUGUUUUUUCUUUUAUGACACAAACAGAUCUUUGGAAGAAAUAAGAGGUCCUUAGAUAAGAAAUGGUAGAAAUCCGAGGAAGAUCCAUGGAAGAGAUAAGUUGCUUUUUGCUAGUGGGAGAUUUGCUGGAGGUGGUUGGUCUGUAUGGUCAAGAACCACAAGAACCCUUAGGUGGUUGAGUUUAUUGAAGUGUGUCAUGUGAUUUUCUCUAUGGAGGUCAAGGCUGGAGAAGGAUCUGGAAUAGCAUAACCUGUGAGGACUAAAAACAUACCCUCUAGGCCAGGUGGAGAGACUUUUGGAGUAUAGAGUCUCCAGUGCUGUCCUAAGGAGGCCUGACCUCCUACAGAGUCCUUGUGUACCAAGGAGCCAGGCAGCCACACACUUAGCGAUGCCAGCAUAUGUUGUUCCCCAAGGAAGGAAAGUGCUUCAUUUCUGCUAAAACCCAAUGUGUAUAGCUAAAACCUGUUGUUCUGCUAAAACCUGAUGGGUACAAACUGCAAAAAACAAAAAAACAACAACCUUCUUAAGACAGCAUUUCAUAGACUCACCAUGAUAGCAAUCUUGUUUUUGAGGCAGGGCUUACCUACUUCAGAUACAGGUGUGUACUAACAUCUGGAGGGUUUCUCUAAUUCUGGGCUUUAUGAAGCCAACCCAAGGGUCAGCUGAGAAUGGUGGGCCCACACUGUGUAAUAAGACCCAUACAGACUCUACUCUCCUUGAACAGAAGGAGGCAGUAGAGCAUAGAGGUUGAGGACAGAACUGGGAGUGGGAUUCAUUUUGAAUCCCAUGCCAUCACUUUAAGUGGUGUGUUUGGGAUGUGACUUUUACAGUCUUUCUGUUUUUUUCAGUUGUCCCGUCUGCAAAAUGGGAAUAAUAACACUUAUGGUCUAUUAUAGUCGUUGUCAAUGAGGUAGGUAGAGUGCUUAGUGUAGCACUGGGCACCACCAACACUGAGUGCAAAAGAGAGCCAGUAGGGCUUUGAUUUAAAUUUCCAGUUUUUCCCCAUUAAGACUUUGGACAGCCUGAUGCCUUUGUCUUCUUUUCUGGUCAGGUUCUGGUGGCUCCUGGCUUCUACAGAGCCCUCCUGCAUGUCCAUGUGCUCCUGUUCCACUGUCUUGAGAACAGCCACUGGUUUCAGUGACCAGCCUCCUUUUGAAGUCCCUGCCAUUGCAAUGCCUCUGCUGUCAAAUACCAAUUCAUUAGCAAUUGUUUUCCAGGAGGCAGAAUUUUUCUUUCAUAUGAGCCCUCCAUUCUAUGCCUGUCUUCUUUCCUGUUUCAUUGAGGCAAGGGAAAUAGAAUUUUAUUUAUUUAUAAAAUAAAUUGUAUUGUAUAUAUUCAAGGUAUAAAACAUGUUAAGGGAUACAUGUGGAUAGUAAAAAGGUUACUAUAGUGAAGCAAAUUAAUGUAUCCAUUAUCUCACAUAGUUACCCUUUGUUUUUGUGGUGAGAGCACUCAUUUAGCAUGAAUCUCAUAUAGAGUACAAUUUUAUUACCUAUGACCUUCAUGUUGUACAUUAGAUCUCUAGACUUCUUCAUUCUACAUACCUGCUAUUUUGUAUCCUCUGACAUACAUUUCUUCAUUCCCCCACCCUGACCCCAUAACCACUGUUUUGUUCUCUAUCUCUGAUUUUUUAGAUUCCACAUGUGAGGUCAUGUGAUUUUUUUCCCCCGUGUCUGCCUUAUUUCACUUAGCCCUCUAGUCCCAUCCAUGUCGUGGCAAGUAGAAUCUUGUUCUUUUUAAGACUGAACAAUAUUCCAUUGUAUAUUUGUACCACGGUUUCUUAAGCCAUCUGUCCAUUAGCUGACACUUAGGUUGUUUCCCUGUCUUGGCUGUUGGGAAUAAUGCUGCAAUGAACAUGGGAGUGCAGAUGUCUUUACAAAGUGGUGAUUUUAUUUCCCUUGGGUAUAUGCCCAGAAGAGGGAUUGUUAGGUCAUAUGGUAGCUCUAUUUUUGAUUUCUUUAGAAACCUCCAUAUUCUUUUCCAUAAUGGCUAUACCAGUCUGCAUUCCCAUCAAUAGUGUAUGAGUUCCCUUUUUCCAUACCUUUGCCCACAUUGGUUGUCUUCUGACUUUUUGAUAAUAACCAUUCUAAUGGGUGUGAAGUGGUAUAUCAUGGUGGUUUUGAUUUUCAUUUCUCUUAUGACUAAUGGUAUUGAGUAUCUUUUCAUCUAUCUAUUGGCCAUUUUUAUGUCUUCUUUGGAGAAUGUCUAUUGAGGUCUUUUUAAAAUUGAGUUAUUUGUUUUCUACUAUUAAUAUAUGAAUUCUUUAUACAUUUUAGAUAUUAACUCCUUAUCAGAUAUAUAGUUUGCAGUAUUUUUUUUCCCAAUCUAUAGGCUGUCAUUUCAUUUUGUUGAUUGUUUUCUUUGCUGUACAGAAGCUUUUUAGUUUGAUGUAGUCUCAUUUAUUUUUGUUUUUGUGGCCUGACCUUUUCAUGUGAUAUCCAAAAAGUCAUCAAGGCCAAUGUCCAUGAGCUGUUGCUCCUUCUCUUCUAGAAGUUUUAUAGUUUCUGGUCUUAUGUUUAGGUCUUUUAUUUAGAGUUGAUUUUUGUGUGUGGUGUAAGAUAAAGGUCUGAUUUCAUUCUUUUCCAUGUGGAAAUCCAGUUUUCCCUGCACCAUUUGUUGAAGACUCACCUUUCUCCAUUGUUUUCCCUUGGUGCCCUUGACAAAAAUUACUAUGCUGUGUUUGCAUUGUCAUUUGUCCUAAGUUAUUUUUAAGUUUUCCUUUUGCUUUCUUCUUUGACCCAUUGGUUGUUUAGGAGCAUGUUAUUUAAUUUCCACAUAUUAGUGAAUUUUCCAAGAUUCUUCCUGUUACUGAUUUCUAGUUUCAUACCACUGUGGCCUGAAACAAUACUGUAUAUGAGUACAGUAUUCUUAAAUUUGUUAAGAUUGUUUCGUGGCCUAACAUAUGGUCUAUCCUGGAGAAUGUUCUAUGUGUGUUGAAGAAAAAUGUGCAUGUAUUAUACUGCUGUUGGACAGAAAUUUUUGUCUAUGUCUCCUAGGCCCAUUUGGUCAAAAGUGCUAUUCAAGUCCAGUAUUUCCUUAUUAUUUUUUUUUUUUGCUUCAUCUAUCUAUUGUUGAAAGUGGGGUAUUGAAGUCCCCUAUGAUCAUUGUAUUGCUAUCUAUUUCCCCGUGUCCAUUAUUUGCUUUAUGUAUUUAGGUGCUCUGGUGUGGGGUGCAUAUAUAUUUACAAUAGCCAUGUCCUCUUGAUGAAUUGAUCCCUUAAACUUCUUUAGUGGAAAAGUUGCUUUCUAAUUGGUGGAUUGGAUUGGGCAGAAGUAGAGAUACCUGAAUCGACUCUGUUGCACCCAUUUAAGAGAUAUUCCUUGUAGAAUAUUUCAUGCCUAGUAUGGGGAAGGUCAAGGCUUCUCAAACUUUAUCAUGUCUACAAAUCACUGGAGGCAUCUUGUUAAAAUACAGAAUCUGAUUCAGUGGGUCUAAGGUGGGACCUGAGACUCUGUAUCUUCAACAAGUUUCCAGAUGAUGCUGGUUCAAUGGCAAGGGGAUGGGCCACAUUAAUGUGUUGAAGAGUUGAGUUCGAAGAUGGGCAAUAGUAGAUAGGUUAUCUUUUCAAACAACAAAGCUUACCGUGCUCUUCUAUACUAAUUUUUAUUUAUUUAACUCAUUUUAAAGCUGCAUUUGAGGCAUCAAUAAUUUUACAAAGCUCUAAUAUUCUUUCUCUGGGUAAACAACAUAAAAACAUGGUAAAGUCUUGACAUAUAAGUGUAAAAGGAUUCAGGCAUUAUAGAUGAAAGGAGAAAACAGCAAAAUUGGGUUGCAUUAGUUACAUUGGUUAAUUCUGAAAAGCUUCUAAAAAGAGGUGUUUUGAACCCAGCUUGAAAGAUAUGGCAAAUGUGGAUUAGAGGAUAUUAGAAAUAUACUAAGUUAGUAUACUUGUACAGGGCAGAAGGUGGAAUUAAGCCUUAGGGACAGCUGAAGCAAGGUGAGUGGGGGGAUAGGAGGGAAUUUGCCCAAAGCAGAGACCAAGAGAAAACUGCAGCUUAUUAGUAGUUAGCAGAGAAGUACCCAGCCAAGCUUGCAGAGAGCAUUACGAAAGGGUUUAACAAUAUGUAUUAGGAAACAAGGUCCUUUAAGGUAAACUUGAGCUUCCCACUCUCUAUCAGUGGGGCCUGUCAGAGGACCCUCAUCCACAGCAGUAGGAAGCAUUUUUACUUUCUGUACUUUGGCCGGAACAUGUUUACUUUCAGCUUUGCUUGGUUUGGUGGUGGGGUUCAGACUUCUUGGGAAACAUUGAUUAGCUCUCUGAGGCUUUCUGUGGCUGCCCAACUUUCAUUCAUUGGACCAUUCUUUUGUAAAUUCAAUAUUGUUGAAUCUAGUGCCUCUAUGUCUACUGAACCUCAUGCUAAAGGUGUGAUAAUUGCAUAUUUGCAGUUAAAUAGCAAUAGCAAUAAUAGCACACACAAAUAUACCAUCUAACUUACGGAGAGAUGCUUUC
rnacentral:lncRNA from 1 species